rnacentral:rRNA from 1 species
UAGGGAAUCUUCGGCAAUGGACGAAAGUCUGACCGAGCAACGCCGCGUGAGUGAAGAAGGUUUUCGGAUCGUAAAACUCUGUUGUUAGAGAAGAACAAGGACGUUAGUAACUGAACGUCCCCUGACUGUAUCUAACCAGAAAGCCACGGCUAACUACGUGCCAGCAGCCGCGGUAAUACGUAGGUGGCAAGCGUUGUCCGGAUUUAUUGGGCGUAAAGCGAGCGCAGGCGGUUUCUUAAGUCUGAUGUGGAAGCCCCCGGCUCAACCGGGGAGGGUCAUUGGAAACUGGGAGACUUGAGUGCAGAAGAGGAGAGUGGAAUUCCAUGUGUAGCGGUGAAAUGCGUAGAUAUAUGGAGGAACAACAGUGGCGAAGGCGGCUCUCUGGUCUGUAACUGACGCUGAGGCUCGAAAGAGUGGGGAGCAAACAGG